AACACGCUGGCGGCGUGCUUAACACAUGCAAGUCGGACGCGAAAGGGACUUCGGUCCUGAGUAAAGUGGCGCACGGGUGAGUAACGCGUAGAUAACCUGUCUUCGAGUCUGGAAUAAUACACCGAAAGGGGUACUAAUACCGGAUAUUCUUGCAUUUCAUAAGGAGUGUAAGCAAAAGGUGGCCUCUGCAUAUGCUACUGCUUGAUGAGGGGUCUGCGUACCAUUAGCUAGUAGGUGGGGUAAUGGCCCACCUAGGCUACGAUGGUUAGCGGGUCUGAGAGGAUGAUCCGCCACACUGGCACUGGAACACGGGCCAGACUCCUACGGGAGGCAGCAGUGAGGAAUAUUGGUCAAUGGGCGGCAGCCUGAACCAGCCAUCCCGCGUGAAGGAAGAAUGCGCUAUGCGUUGUAAACUUCUUUUCAGGGGGAUAAAAUUCUGUAUGUAUACAGGACUGAAGGUACCCUGAGAAUAAGCAUCGGCUAACUCCGUG
rnacentral:rRNA from 1 species